UACGUAGGCAGCGAGCGUUGUUCGGAGUUACUGGGCGUAAAGAGUGCGUAGGCGGUUUUCUAAGUUUGGUGUGAAAUCUCCCGGCUCAACUGGGAGGGUGCGCCGAAGACUGGAAGGCUUGAGUAUGGGAGAGGUAAGCGGAAUUCCCGGUGUAGCGGUGAAAUGCGUAGAUAUCAGGAGGAACACCUGCGGUGUAGACGGCUUACUGGACCAUAACUGACGCUGAGGCACGAAAGCGUGGGUAGCAAACAGG
rnacentral:rRNA from 1 species